AACAGGAUUAGAUACCCUGGUAGUCCACGCCCUAAACGAUGCCAACUAGGUGUUGGGGAAGGAGACUUCCUUAGUACCGUAGCUAACGCGUGAAGUUGGCCGCCUGGGGAGUACGGUCGCAAGAUUAAAACUCAAAGGAAUUGACGGGGACCCGCACAAGCGGUGGAUGAUGUGGAUUAAUUCGAUGCAACGCGAAAAACCUUACCUACCCUUGACAUGCCAGGAAUCCCGCUGAGAGGUGGGAGUGCUCGAAAGAGAGCCUGGACACAGGUGCUGCAUGGCUGUCGUCAGCUCGUGUCGUGAGAUGUUGGGUUAAGUCCCGCAACGAGCGCAACCCUUGUCAUUAGUUGCCAUCAUUUAGUUGGGCACUCUAAUGAGACUGCCGGUGACAAACCGGAGGAAGGUGGGGAUGACGUCAAGUCCUCAUGGCCCUUAUGAGCAGGGCUUCACACGUCAUACAAUGGUCGGUACAGAGGGUUGCCAAACCGCGAGGUGGAGCUAAUCUCUUAAAGCCGAUCGUAGUCCGGAUUGGAGUCUGCAACUCGACUCCAUGAAGUCGGAAUCGCUAGUAAUCGUGAAUCAGCGAUGUCACGGUGAAUACGUUCCCGGGUCUUGUACACACCGCCCGUCACACCAUGGGAGUUGAUUGCACCAGAAGUAGUUAGCCUAACCGCAAGGAGGGCGACUACCACGGUGAGAUUCAUGACUGGGGUGAAGUCGUAACAAGGUAACC
rnacentral:rRNA from 1 species